rnacentral:rRNA from 1 species
CUGGCGGCGUGCCUAACACAUGCAAGUCGAACGGACGAGGGGAGCUUGCUCCCCAAGUUAGUGGCGGACGGGUGAGUAACACGUGAGCAACCUGCCCUUCGGAGGGGGACAACAGCGGGAAACUGCUGCUAAUACCGCAUAAUGUAUUUUGGAGGCAUCUCCGGGAUACCAAAGAUUUUAUCGCCGAAGGAUGGGCUCGCGUCUGAUUAGAUAGUUGGUGGGGCAACGGCCCACCAAGUCUGCGAUCAGUAGCCGGACUGAGAGGUUGAACGGCCACAUUGGGACUGAGAUACGGCCCAGACUCCUACGGGAGGCAGCAGUGGGGAAUAUUGGGCAAUGGGGGCAACCCUGACCCAGCAACGCCGCGUGGAGGAAGAAGGCUUUCGGGUUGUAAACUCCUUUGACGAGGGACGAUGAUGACGGUACCUCGAAAACAAGCCACGGCUAACUACGUGCCAGCAGCAGC